UACAGAGACUGCAAGCGUUUAUUCGGAUUCACUGGGCGUAAAGCGUGCGCAGGCGGUUCGUUGUGUCGGCGGUGAAAGCCCCGGGCUUAACCUGGGAAUGGCCGUUGAAACUGGCGAACUGGAGUGUGGCAGAGGGGGGUGGAAUUCCGCGUGUAGCAGUGAAAUGCGUAGAGAUGCGGAGGAACACCGAUGGCGAAGGCAGCCCCCUGGGCUAACACUGACGCUCAGGCGCGAAAGCGUGGGGAGCGAACCGG
rnacentral:rRNA from 1 species